ACCUCAGAGGCGGUUUGGUCAGG
rnacentral:siRNA from 1 species